AGUGAACGCUGGCGGUAGGCUUAACACAUGCAAGUCGAACGGCAGCACAGUAAAAGCUUGCUCUUACGGGUGGCGAGUGGCGGACGGGUGAGGAAUACAUCGGAAUCUACUUUUUCGCGGGGGAUAACGUAGGGAAACUUACGCUAAUACCGCAUACGAAAUACGGGUGAAAGCAGGGGAUCUUCGGACCUUGCGCGAUUGAAUGAGCCGAUGUCGGAUUAGCUAGUUGGCGGGGUAAAGGCCCACCAAGGCAACGAUCCGUAGCUGGUCUGAGAGGAUGAUCAGCCACACUGGAACUGAGACACGGCCCAGACUCCUACGGGAGGCAGCAGUGGGGAAUAUUGGACAAUGGGCGCAAGCCUGAUCCAGCCAUACCGCGUGGGGGAAGAAGGCCUUCGGGUUGUAAAGCCCUUUUGUUGGGAAAGAAAAGCAGCAGGUUAAUACCCCGCUGUUCUGACGGUACCCAAAGAAUAAGCACCGGCUAACUUCGUG
rnacentral:rRNA from 1 species